AACGAACGCUGGCGGCAUGCCUAACACAUGCAAGUCGAACGAGACCUUCGGGUCUAGUGGCGCACGGGUGCGUAACGCGUGGGAACCUGCCCUUAGGUUCGGAAUAACUCCCCGAAAGGGGUGCUAAUACCGGAUAAUGUCUUCGGACCAAAGAUUUAUCGCCUUUGGAUGGGCCCGCGUUGGAUUAGCUAGUUGGUAGGGUAAAAGCCUACCAAGGCGACGAUCCAUAGCUGGUCUGAGAGGAUGAUCAGCCACACUGGGACUGAGACACGGCCCAGACGAGUGCGGGUGGAAACAGUGGGGAAUAUUGGAGAAUGGGCGAGAGCGUGACACAGCAAUGCCGAGGGAGUUAUGCAGGUCUUGGGGUCGUAAAAGCCUGUUAACCGGGAUGAUAAUGACAGUAGAGGGAGAAUAAGAACCGGCUAACUACGUG
rnacentral:rRNA from 1 species